rnacentral:rRNA from 1 species
UACGGGGGGGGCAAGCGUUGUUCGGAAUUACUGGGCGUAAAGGGCUCGUAGGCGGCCAACUAAGUCAGACGUGAAAGCCCCCGGCUCAACUGGGGAGGGUCACGCGAUACUGAUCGACUCGAAGGCAGGAGAGGGUAGUGGAAUUCCCGGUGUAGUGGUGAAAUGCGUAGAUAUCGGGAGGAACACCAGUGGCGAAGGCGACUACCUGGCCUGUUUCUUGACGCUGAGGCGCGAAAGCUAGGGGAGCAAACGGG